CCAAUAUCGUAUGACGAGCUCAGGAGAUGGUCAUUGCACGUCAAGUGCUCCCAAGGAAGCCACUAGUGCCAAUAAGGAAGCUAAUGGAGUGGAGGGUAAAACUGUUUGAAAAUGUUUAAAGUCCAUUCCCUGUUGCCUCGUGAAGGAAAGGUAGUUAUGCACCAGUCUUCUCUCAUUUGGCAGAAGUCUGCUCUAGUUUCUUUUUUGUCCCAUUCAAAUUCUUUUGUACAUACUGUAAUCUGGAUAUUUCUAACGCAGAGAGUCCGUUUUGGUUCAUUAUCAGUAUUCAAUUCAGUCUCGUGUUUAACUAUUUUCUACCGAAUGUAUGCAUCACAUGCUUUUGUGAUUGGCGUAAGGAUGGAUCUUAAUCCAUCACAAACUGUUAUUGGUUGCGGUCCUUGAUCUUUAACGUUACAAUAUUUUACAUA